AUACGUAGGGGGCGAGCGUUGUCCGGAAUGAUUGGGCGUAAAGGGCGCGUAGGCGGCUUUGCAAGUCAGUAGUGGAAGUCCCUUUUUCAAGGUUGGAAGUGCUACAGAAACUGCGGAGCUUGAGUGUAGGAGAGGUUAUCGGAAUUCCCGGUGUAGCGGUGAAAUGCGUAGAGAUCGGGAGGAACACCAGUGGCGAAGGCGGGUAACUGGACUGCAACUGACGCUGAGGCGCGAAAGUGUGGGGAGCAAACAGGAUUAGAUACCCUGGUAGUCCACACUGUAAACGAUGAAUGCUAGGUGUAGGAGGUAUCGACCCCUUCUGCGCCGCAGUAAACACAGUAAGCAUUCCGCCUGGGGAGUACGGUCGCAAGAUUAAAACUCAAAGGAAUUGACGGGG
rnacentral:rRNA from 1 species